AUUGAACGCUGGCGGCAUGCCUAACACAUGCAAGUCGAACGGUACGCGAAGAGCUUGCUCUUUGGCGACGAGUGGCGGACGGGUGAGUAAUACUUAGGAAUCACCCAGUAGUGGGGGACAACUCGGGGAAACUCGAGCUAAUACCGCAUACGCCCCAAGGGGAAAGCGGGGGAUCCACUCAAUAAGAGCCUUUGAGGCUCGCAUUUAACCGAAAGGGUUUUAUUGAGUGGACCUCGCGCUAUUGGAUGAGCCUAAGUCGGAUUAGCUAGUUGGUAGGGUAAAGCCCUACCAAGGCGACGAUCCGUAGCUGGUCUGAGAGGACGAUCAGCCACACUGGGCUGAGACACGGCCCAGACUCCUACGGGAGGCAGCAGUGGGGAAUAUUGGACAAUGGGGGAACCCUGAUCCAGCAAUGCCGCGUGUGUGAAGAAGGCCUGCGGGUUGUAAAGCACUUUCGUAGAGAAGAAAAGCCUAAGGUUAAUAACCUUGAGUCUUGACGUAACCUACAGAAGAAGACCGGCUAACUCCGUGCCAGCAGCCGCGGUAAUACGGAGGGUGCAAGCGUUAAUCGGAAUACUGGGCGUAAAGCGCACGUAGGUGGUUUUGUAAGUCGGAUGUGAAAGCCCUGGGCUCACCUGGHAAUUGCAUUCGAUACUGCUUAACUAGAGUAUGGUAGAGGGAAGUGGAAUUUCGGUGUANCGGUGAAAUGCGUAGAUAUCGGAAGAACACCAGU
rnacentral:rRNA from 1 species